rnacentral:rRNA from 1 species
GUUAAGCGACUAAGCGUACACGGUGGAUGCCCUGGCAGUCAGAGGCGAUGAAGGACGUGCUAAUCUGCGAUAAGCGUCGGUAAGGUGAUAUGAACCGUUAUAACCGGCGAUUUCCGAAUGGGGAAACCCAGUGUGAUUCGUCACACUAUCAUUAACUGAAUCCAUAGGUUAAUGAGGCGAACCGGGGGAACUGAAACAUCUAAGUACCCCGAGGAAAAGAAAUCAACCGAGAUUCCCCCAGUAGCGGCGAGCGAACGGGGAGCAGCCCAGAGCCUGAAUCAGUGUGUGUGUUAGUGGAAGCGUCUGGAAAGGCGCGCGAUACAGGGUGACAGCCCCGUACACAAAAAUGCACAUGCUGUGAGCUCGAUGAGUAGGGCGGGACACGUGGUAUCCUGUCUGAAUAUGGGGGGACCAUCCUCCAAGGCUAAAUACUCCUGACUGACCGAUAGUGAACCAGUACCGUGAGGGAAAGGCGAAAAGAACCCCGGCGAGGGGAGUGAAAAAGAACCUGAAACCGUGUACGUACAAGCAGUGGGAGCACGCUUAGGCGUGUGACUGCGUACCUUUUGUAUAAUGGGUCAGCGACUUAUAUUCUGUAGCAAGGUUAACCGAAUAGGGGAGCCGAAGGGAAACCGAGUCUUAACUGGGCGUUAAGUUGCAGGGUAUAGACCCGAAACCCGGUGAUCUAGCCAUGGGCAGGUUGAAGGUUGGGUAACACUAACUGGAGGACCGAACCGACUAAUGUUGAAAAAUUAGCGGAUGACUUGUGGCUGGGGGUGAAAGGCCAAUCAAACCGGGAGAUAGCUGGUUCUCCCCGAAAGCUAUUUAGGUAGCGCCUCGUGAAUUCAUCUCCGGGGGUAGAGCACUGUUUCGGCAAGGGGGUCAUCCCGACUUACCAACCCGAUGCAAACUGCGAAUACCGGAGAAUGUUAUCACGGGAGACACACGGCGGGUGCUAACGUCCGUCGUGAAGAGGGAAACAACCCAGACCGCCAGCUAAGGUCCCAAAGUCAUGGUUAAGUGGGAAACGAUGUGGGAAGGCCCAGACAGCCAGGAUGUUGGCUUAGAAGCAGCCAUCAUUUAAAGAAAGCGUAAUAGCUCACUGGUCGAGUCGGCCUGCGCGGAAGAUGUAACGGGGCUAAACCAUGCACCGAAGCUGCGGCAGCGACACUGUGUGUUGUUGGGUAGGGGAGCGUUCUGUAAGCCUGCGAAGGUGUGCUGUGAGGCAUGCUGGAGGUAUCAGAAGUGCGAAUGCUGACAUAAGUAACGAUAAAGCGGGUGAAAAGCCCGCUCGCCGGAAGACCAAGGGUUCCUGUCCAACGUUAAUCGGGGCAGGGUGAGUCGACCCCUAAGGCGAGGCCGAAAGGCGUAGUCGAUGGGAAACAGGUUAAUAUUCCUGUACUUGGUGUUACUGCGAAGGGGGGACGGAGAAGGCUAUGUUGGCCGGGCGACGGUUGUCCCGGUUUAAGCGUGUAGGCUGGUUUUCCAGGCAAAUCCGGAAAAUCAAGGCUGAGGCGUGAUGACGAGGCACUACGGUGCUGAAGCAACAAAUGCCCUGCUUCCAGGAAAAGCCUCUAAGCAUCAGGUAACAUCAAAUCGUACCCCAAACCGACACAGGUGGUCAGGUAGAGAAUACCAAGGCGCUUGAGAGAACUCGGGUGAAGGAACUAGGCAAAAUGGUGCCGUAACUUCGGGAGAAGGCACGCUGAUACGUAGGUGAAGUCCCUCGCGGAUGGAGCUGAAAUCAGUCGAAGAUACCAGCUGGCUGCAACUGUUUAUUAAAAACACAGCACUGUGCAAACACGAAAGUGGACGUAUACGGUGUGACGCCUGCCCGGUGCCGGAAGGUUAAUUGAUGGGGUCAGCGCAAGCGAAGCUCUUGAUCGAAGCCCCGGUAAACGGCGGCCGUAACUAUAACGGUCCUAAGGUAGCGAAAUUCCUUGUCGGGUAAGUUCCGACCUGCACGAAUGGCGUAAUGAUGGCCAGGCUGUCUCCACCCGAGACUCAGUGAAAUUGAACUCGCUGUGAAGAUGCAGUGUACCCGCGGCAAGACGGAAAGACCCCGUGAACCUUUACUAUAGCUUGACACUGAACAUUGAGCCUUGAUGUGUAGGAUAGGUGGGAGGCUUUGAAGUGUGGACGCCAGUCUGCAUGGAGCCGACCUUGAAAUACCACCCUUUAAUGUUUGAUGUUCUAACGUUGACCCGUAAUCCGGGUUGCGGACAGUGUCUGGUGGGUAGUUUGACUGGGGCGGUCUCCUCCUAAAGAGUAACGGAGGAGCACGAAGGUUGGCUAAUCCUGGUCGGACAUCAGGAGGUUAGUGCAAUGGCAUAAGCCAGCUUGACUGCGAGCGUGACGGCGCGAGCAGGUGCGAAAGCAGGUCAUAGUGAUCCGGUGGUUCUGAAUGGAAGGGCCAUCGCUCAACGGAUAAAAGGUACUCCGGGGAUAACAGGCUGAUACCGCCCAAGAGUUCAUAUCGACGGCGGUGUUUGGCACCUCGAUGUCGGCUCAUCACAUCCUGGGGCUGAAGUAGGUCCCAAGGGUAUGGCUGUUCGCCAUUUAAAGUGGUACGCGAGCUGGGUUUAGAACGUCGUGAGACAGUUCGGUCCCUAUCUGCCGUGGGCGCUGGAGAACUGAGGGGGGCUGC